rnacentral:lncRNA from 1 species
CCUUGCAGUUUGAUCUCAGACUGCUGUGCUAGCAAUCAGCGAGACUCCGUGGGCGUAGGACCCUCCGAGCCAGGUGCGGGAUGUAAUCUCGUGGUGGGCCGUUUUUUAAGCCCGUCGGAAAAGCGCAGUAUUCGGGUGGGAGUGACCCGAUUUUCCAGGUGCCGUCCGUCACCCCUUUCUUUGACUAGGAAAGGGAACUCCCUGACCCCUUGCGCUUCCCUAGUGAGGCAAUGCCUCGCCCUGCUUCGGCUUGCGCACGGUGCGCGCACCCACUGACCUGCGCCCACUGUCUGGCACUCCCUAGUGAGAUGAACCCGGUACCUCAGAUGGAAAUGCAGAAAUCACCUGUCUUCUGCGACGCUCACACUGGGAGCUGUAGACCGGAGCUGUUCCUAUUCGGCCAUCUUGGCUCCUCCCCAGGAAAAAAUUUCUUAAAGUUGUUUUCUCCACUUUUCUGGCCUCUUGCCCAACAAAAUGGUGAACAAGACUCCACCUACUUCAAGGAUUGGGAGAAUAGAGAGUGGAAUGGGAACAACUGGUCUAUCAAUGAGAAGAAAGUGCCAACUGAAAACUUUUAGAAAAUACCCAGUUUACUCAAGGAAAAUAACAUGCAUUGAAGGUGAUUGCUCAAUAGAGAGAAGUUGAAACAGCAGACUAAUUGCCUGUUUGUGACACCCAUGUAAUCAACUUGCCAUUUGUACUCAUCAGUUCAGGCUGUGUUUUCCCACUGAGACAUCAUUUACAGUGCUCUAAACAUAUUUUCACAACAUUCACCUGACAACAUCAGCUGAGAGAAAAAUUUUCAGACUGCCGAGAAACAUCAGGAGGCCAUGAAUUCUUAAUCAACACACCAAAUUAUGAAAAUGAUUCUUGGUGAAGUUCCUUAUAAAUUUUUAAUUUAUCAUGACU